rnacentral:pre_miRNA from 1 species
UUUGUGGGGGAUGUUGGCUGGCUCGAUGCAUUCACUUUUGAUCUUUCACAGCACCGAUCAUGUGAUCUUUCUGUACUGGAUUUGAUAUAUUUAUAUAUGAAUUAUAUCAAGUGACUGCAUCGGACCAGGCUUCAUUCCUCUCAAA